ACCCCCCAGGUUCGGGGCGUGAAAAAAGAUAUGUACAAGAGACCAACAAGGGGUCUUACAAAAAAGAAAAAGAAAAAUACAAAAAGAAAAAGAAAAAUCCUAGCUAUGCCCGAGGCCGGUUUCUCCCUCAGGAGCAGCUUCCUCUUCGGGCCCAUCUUCAUUGUCUUACCCUCCUUGCCUGCCUUCAUCAUCAUCGUCAUCAUCGGAGGAGAUGUGAAAUUUGGCAUCAGCUUCGAGCGCCUUUGCUUGAGCUAUCUCUUAAGUGAGGUCAAAACCUCGAGCGUGGAUUUCCUCGAGGGACACGCUCCAAGAUUGGCACUUGGGCAAAUCAUUACUCCGUCGCUCUCGAUCAGAGGCUUCCCUUAGCUCCAUUUGAGUAGCCUCAACAUCCCUUAAGUACACGACAACAGUUUUAUCAGCUGUGACCUUUGUCUUUACGACCUCAGCCCUGGCCUUAGUAAGGUUGACCUCGAGAUCGUCGAUCCUUUUGGCCUGGACCAAACUUUUCUCUUUAGCGCCCUGGAGUUGGGCAUCAACCGAUGCUAGUUUGGCUAAAGCAGCCUCCUUCUUUGUAGCAAGGCGGUCCAUAUUCUCUUUCCACCGGUUGCAGUCUGAGACACUGCAGUAUUCGACUCCAUAGUCGGAUUGAAUAGACCAUACUCUUUCAAAAUGAUAGUUACCUACUUUUCUAGCUCGGCCUCAUCUUCACGAGUCUUGGCCAAGUUUGCCCGAAGGUCCUUGAGCUCCUCCUCCUUUUGACUGAAAAGGAGUUUCAGGGAAUUCCUUUUAUCCGAGGUCUUCUGGAGCUCGGCCUCGUAGUGGCUCAGGUCAGCCCUAACCUAGUGAAAACCUACACAAAAAAAGGAUAUCAAUUAGGGUAAAGGGAGAAGAAGAAAAAGAAAAUUGCAACGAUAGGAAUUAAUUCUUACUUGAGAGAAAAGGCGUUGAGCCUCUUUAAAUAGGGUAGAUGCAUCAUUGAGAUCGGCGGCAUCAUCGACCCCGGUAAAGCAAUCCUGGAAAAGAACUUCUUCACGGGGGACUUCGCUUAAGUCAGGAGUUUGUAGAGCCCGAGCCUCCUUUAUAGCCUCUUCAGAAUAAGCCGGUAGAGGGGGAGAGUGACCUAUUGUCAUGGCCCCGAGCAAAUCGCUUGGGGCACUCUGUUCAGCCCUGGGGGCUUUGGAACCUGUCCCCUUCGGUGUGCUUGUUGAUGGCCGAGGAACAAACUCGACCUAGAGCGAUUCGGGGGAUUUACCCGCGUCUUUCUUCAGAGCUUCCUCACCACGAGGCAGGGUCUCCGGUUCGGAGAGCUUGACAGCUUCAACUAGCUUCCUAGCUCGGGUCACCAACACUGAAUAUUCACCCUCGUCUUCUUUUUCAUCAUUUAGCUGGUGGACUAAGUCUAUAUCCACAGGAAUGAGAUUCCUCCUAUGUCUUCAAGUAGGACCCCUUUUAUCUUGGGGGUCUUCAGGCUUCGAAACCCUUUUCCUCUUAUUAUCUUUCCUCGAUUUUGGAAUCAGGAACUCGAUCUCUUCCCAAGGCGGGGCUGGCCUCAUUUCAGAGACAUCUCCAAUGCCUGCAUGAAUGAAAAUUAGGUAUAAGUUAAGAAGCAUUUCAUAUAACGGGGAAAACAUCAAAAACAUACAAGAAGAACUUACCGUGGUGUUUGGCUUCCCAUCUGCCCCUCGCCAAGUCACGCUAGCAACGCUCGUCAUACAAGGAGGUCGCAGUUGGUUUCCGGACCCAGUCUUUAAGGUCGGCGACCACAAGGGGCAUCCAAGCAACCGCUGCAAAAUAGAUGAAGGCAUCACGCAAUGCAAAAACAGAAUACAAAAGGCUACUAAAAAGCUUCACUUACGAUCGGGGUUACACUUUUCUAGGAACGAUAUUUUCUCCUCAGGGAUGAUGUCGCAGGUCUUCACUCGCACAAACUGGCUCAUCCAGCCCCGAUCUUUAUCCUUGUUGUUGCUAGAAAAGAAGACCUUGAUCGACCGAUGUUGGAGCUUGAUAAACCCUCGAAAAAGUUGAGGCCGAUACAAUCGGAUUAGAUAAUUGAGGGUGAACUCUAGCCGCUCGACCUUGCUGGAGAAAUAGCGAAGCAUGAUCACUAUACGCCAGAAAGAAGGGUGGAUCUAGCCGAGGGUGACCUGAUACCUCUUGCAGAAGUCAAUCAUGAUUGGAUCGUUGGGACCCGACGUGAAGGGGUAGGUGUAAACACUUAGGAACCCCUCCACACAAGUGGUGAUACUCUCCUCGGGGGGAGGGGAUCUGUACCACGACCUCAUCCCCCCAGCCACAAUCCCUCUUCAUGGCCUCUAGGCGCUUCUCCGUUAUCGAGAAAAUAUACCUUGAUACAUGCUCACAUUGGCGAGGAAUCACGCGGGGGGGGGGGGCUGGGUCAACUUUGAAGUCUUUCUUUAUAACACAACAGCCGGGAAGAAGAGGAGGAAGCUGACGAAGCUUGUGUGUAUAGGAUUUUCUGCUCAUACUCUGUCAAAUUCUAGUAUAGUUUAUGAUAUUGUCCCACAAAGGCUGGACAAUCUAAGCUACAGACUUAUAAUAUUUUCACUACUAUUNNNNNNNNNNNNNNNNNNNNNNNNNACCUUGAUACAUGCUCACAUUGGCGAGGAAUCACNCGGGGGGGGGGGGGGGGUUCAACUUUGAAGUCUUUCUUUAUAACACAACAGCCGGGAAGAAGAGGAGGAAGCUGACGAAGCUUGUGUGUAUAGGAUUUUCUGCUCAUACUCUGUCAAAUUCUAGUAUAGUUUAUGAUAUUGUCCCACAAAGGCUGGACAAUCUAAGCUACAGACUUAUAAUAUUUUCACUACUAUUUGAGAGAACCAAAUUGAUGAAAGGUGUGUUUGAAAUUAUAAAUAAGACAAAUUUCUUCCAAAAAGUUUAUAUUUAAAAAAAGUUAGGAAUCGUUGAAUUCACUCGAUAUAUCAUUACAAUAAAAUCUCAGUUUCAUACAUAUUUCUCUAAAGAAUAAUUACUUAUUGCUAAUACAAUUAUAUGUUUACACUAAGAAAUAAAUAAAUAAUUAACACUCCAUGAGGUUAUGUCAAUUAAUUGAUUUAAAACUAGUGAUGAUUAAACUGAAAUAUCUUGCCUGAAUUGUGCUCAAGCGUAGUAAAACAUUCGUGAGAUUAUUUUUACUAGAAAAUCAAUAAUCUUGCCUUCAACAAUUCCUCCGUGAGAAUUAAAACUCAGGAAAGCAAGAUUACAAACUCAAAAUAAUAAUCUUACUUACAAUUACUUUCACUCUAAUAUUCUGUGCUAAAGUGUAGUAAAAACUUCGUGAAAAUAUUUUUACUAGAAAAUCAAUAAUCUUGCCUUCAACAAUUCCUCCGUGCAAAUUAAAACUGAGGAAAGCAAGAUUACAUAUUUGAAAUAAUAAUCUUACCAAAAAUUACUUUCACUCUAAUAUUCUAUUCAUCAGUUAUUAUAUAUUAAGUUUGCUCCGUGAGAAUUAUAAAAUUAAUAUAAGAAUAGCUUAGAUAAAAUAUGUAGAUGUGAUAAUAAUGAUUAAAUAAUUAUUAUUCCAGCACAGUAUGAAAUGUAAAUAGAGUUUCAGGCCAAGAAUGUAUUGAAACUGAGAUAGUAUUAUAAUUAUAUCAAGCUUCAUCAACUAUCCCAACAAAAAGAAAUUACUCCAUUAUGAAGUAAGAAAAGCUGAAAAAUACUUUCAAAAGACUAAGAAUAUUUUUACUACAAAGAGAAAGACUAGAGGAAGAGACUAAGAUUACUCUUCUCUUUCUCUUUAGAAACUUAGAAAACACUAGAUAGGAAUUUAGAUACAAAGUGGGAUGAUCUUUCUUCUACAAACAUAUGCCUAUUUAUAGUAAAAUUUCUACAAGACCUUGAUGAGAAUUUUGCAAGAUAAUAUCAAUAUAUCAUAUGGCCUUGAUGAGAAAUUGACAUGGCAAUUUGUCAUGAAAUUUGGUGAGAAUUUGCCAUAACUUUUGUAUCUCUUAACUUUAUGUAGUCUUAGAUGAAGUUGUCACGUAUGUAUCCUUCUUCCUUGAACUGUAGGUUCUUUCUUUUUCUCUUUUUCCAUAUAUUCUUUUUCUUACAAGAAUUAUUAAAAAAGUAUGAGAAUAAGAUAUAAAUUGGUCAUGUUUUAUAUCUAAAAUAUUAUAUUUUUUAUUAAAAUAUUAAAAUAAUUUAUAUCCAUGAAAUACCCCCACACUUAUAUUUUUUCUCGUCCUCGAGGAAAAGAAUUUUGAAAAAAAUAUAUUACUAUUUUUUGUUUAAAAUUAUGGCUACUCUCGUAAAAUGAAAAUUUAAUCAAAUAAAAUCUAUCAUGCUUUCAAACUUUAUAAAUUUUCUAUAUUCAUCAAAUCUUUACCUUAUUUUUACUUUUAUUUUUAUUCUACAAAAAUUAUACCUUCUUUCGUUUUAGACUUCUCUGAAAUUGAUAAUUUUAUGAUCAUUUGCAUUGAGCAUUCUUCAUCUUUUGUCCAUAGGCUCGUCCUUUAUGUCUAUCUCCACUAAUGUACACUGAACACUGAUUUCUAAAAUCUUUUAGGACUUUAUCUGGCUUGUAAUGUUGUUUUCGGGCUGGUAGGUUAAAUGUUAUAUUUGUAGUGACUUGCUUUUUUCAGUUUUGGAGUAGAAUAUUUCUAAGAUCAGACUUUCCAAAUACUUGCUAUUGAUUUUUUGUUGUUGUACUUAUAAUGCUUGAACGUAAGAUCAAUCUCUCCUUCUUUUUUUCUUUAAUUCUGAUUUUUCUUCAAAAUGAGCUCCAAACUUAUUUUCUAAAAAAGGACUUGUCAAAUGAUAAGCAUGAAUGUGAUAUUUAAAUUUGGUCAUAUUUAGGUAUCAAAAGAAAAAAUAGGUCUUCAAGCUUCAAAAUAGGUGCCAGGAAUUAAUUUUUUUGUAGUAAAGUUUUGUGCAAUAUCUAGAAAAGACUAAGGUAGACAAAGAAAGCCUAAAUUCAUAUUUCAAAAAUCAGUGUUGUCUAGGAUUUUUCCUCGAAAGACAUUUGGGGCAAGUUCUAGCAUAUAGAUUAUAAGUUCUACUUGCUUUUGACCAUAAUGCUUCUAGAUAUCAGAAUGUCUUGCCAAGUAUUGAAGAUAUUUGUUCAUGCCUUCAUAAAAAUAAACUUAAAAACUAUAACGACCCGGCCAGCCGUUUCAUGAGUUACCGCUCCAUUUCCCCCAUUUCUGUUUCUUAUUACCUUGUUCAUCUGUAUUUUGUGUUACUGGGUUGGUUGGUUCGGGUUCGUAGAGGUUUUGGUAAGGUUUGAGGCACUUAGUCUCUUUUGAGAAAGCUUAAGUUGGAAAAGUCAACUGGAUGUUGACUUAUGUGUUAAAGGGCUUGGAUGUGAGUUUCGUUGGUUCGGAUAACUUCGGGAGGUGAUUUGGGACUUAGGUGCGAGAUCAGAAUGUGUUUUGGAGGUCCGGAGUGGAUUUAGGAUUGAAUUGGCGAAAUUGGAAUUUUGGCAUUUUCUGGUUGAUAGGUGAGAUUUUGAUAUAGGGGUCGGAAUGGAAUUCUGGAAGUUACAGUAGGUCCGUUGUGUCAUUUGGGAUGUGUGUGCAAAAUUUUAGGUCAUUCGGACGUAUGUUGAUAGAUUUUUUGAUCGAAAGCGGAAUUUAGAAGAUUUUAAAAUUCGUAGGCUUGAAUUCGAUGCGAAUUUGGUGUUUUUAUGUUGUUUUGAGUGUUCCUAAGGUAGGAAAUGGUUUGAAUGAUGUUAUGAGAUAUGUUGGCAUGUUUUGUUGAGGUCCCGAGGGCCUUAGGUGAGUUUCGGGUGGUCAAACGGACUAUUUCAUGUUGUGGAAAGUUGCAGAAACUGCUAUUUGUGUGUAGCAGACAUUUGGCCUUCGCGUUCGUGAGUGGGCCCUCACGUUCGCGAAGGGUUAGGCUGGGAGGCUGUGAAGUUGGCCUUCACAUUCGCGAAGGAGGUCCCGCGAUAGCGAAGGGUUGAGGCUCAAAGUCAUCGCGUUCGCGAGGUUAUGCACGCGUUCGCGUAGAGGAAAGUUGAGCAGCUAGGUUCAGGUUGGUUUGUUCUUCACGUUCGUGAAUGGGGAGUCGCGUUCGCGGUGAGCAAGGAAGCUAAGUCUUUGCGUUCGCGUGUUGGGAGUCGCGAACGCGAUGAAGGAAAAUUUGGUCAAUGUUAGUUUGUGCUUCGCAAACACGAGGCUUUGAAUGCGAUUGCGAAGAAGGAUUUGAAUGCCUGGGCAGAAUGUUUAAAUAGCCAUUGUCCGCGAUUUUGGGGCUAACUUUCACCAUUUUUGAGAGAUUUUGGAGCUUUUUGAAGAAGAUUGAAGAAGGAAUCAAGGGGGAACACUAGGAGGUACGAUUUAUGGACUUAAUACUCGAUCCUAAUGUGUUUUAUACCUAAUUUAUCUUGGAAUUUAAGCCUAAAAUUGAAGAACUAGGGCUUGUAAUUGGAGACCUAUAAUUUGGAAUUUGAGGGGUCGUUUGUGGUUGGAUUUUGAUGCCUUUGAUAUGAAUGAACUCGGGGAGUGAUAAGGAGUCUAUUGAUGUAAUUUUUAUCGGAACCGAGACGUGAGCCCGGGGGUUAGGUUUGGCCAAUUUCGGGAUUUGUGUUGUAAUUUGAUUUCUUUCGAGUGGGAUUUGUUUCCUUAGCAUAUUUUGAUGGUUUUGCACUAAUUUUGGUUGGAUUUGGAGCAUUCAGAGGCCGAUUCGAGAGGCAAAGGCAUCGCGGGCUAGAGUUUGGACCGGAUUGAGGUCAGUAAUGAUUGUAAAUAUUGUCCUGAGGGUAUGAAACCCCGAAUUUCACAUCGUUGUGCUAUAUUGAGAUGACGGACAUGCUAGAUGGCGAGUGUGGGGUCGUGCACCGGUGGGGAUUGUGACUUAGUCCAUCCCGAAUGAUUGUUUACCGCGUAUUUGAUUGAAAACUAUUUGCUAUCAUCAUGUUUUGGGCCGAAUGCCAUAUUUGGGCCUCGUGCCAACUAUUUGGACCCUUAAGGGAUAUUUACUGGUAUUUCCUCACUGUUUUGAUUUUAAUAUCUGUACUCAGUCAUGCUAUAUUAUACCGUUUUUAUAACUCAGCCAUGUUUACUCUGUUUUAACAUAUUAAAUGAUAUUUUGGGCUGAGCAUCAUGUUUUACUACUGCCUGAGUGGCUUAUGAGAUUCUGACUGAGUAAGGCCGAGGGCCUGUGUUGUGAGGAUUCUUUUGGGUUGGGAUGCACGCUGCAGCAGUUAUACACUAAUUAUGAUUAUGAGGCCGAGGGCUUGAGACUGUACGCCACAAGGUGGCUUGAUAUGAGGCUGAGAGCCUGUUUGAUUAUGCCACAAGAUGGCUUGUUAUUGAGCUUGGGCUGUAAGGGGCCCCUACCGGAGUCUGUACACCCCCAGUGAGCGUGGGUACCCAUUGUGAUGAGACAUAGCCUGAGGGGUUGAUUCUGUUGGUAUUGUACCCGAGGGCGGUUUUAAUGUGUUUAUCUCUUCUAAUUUCCUGUCAUUUACUUGUUUAACUGUUAAAAAGGUGUUUUAAAAAAUCUUAUUCUAAACUAAGGUUUUUUUUAUAAGAUUUCACUAUUUCUUUGCCUUUAUUGGUUUUUACACUGCUUCUUUAUAGCAUGUUGUUGUGUUCUUAUGUGAUUUCUUAUUGCUCAGUCUUCAAUUAUUAUUAUUACUCAUUGAGUCGGAGUACUCACAUUACUCUCUGCACCCCUGUGUGCAGAUAUAGGAGCCUCAGGUCCCGCUAGCAAGUGUUGAUUGCUUCCAGCUUAGGCGGUUCGGAGUUCACUAGGUAGCUACUCGGCAUUCGCAUCCUAGUGCUUCUCCCUCUAUCUUAUUUUCCCUUGUUUUAGUUCUGUAAUAAACUAUGUAGACUCUUCCUACUUUUAAUCGGUUAUUAUAUGCUCAUGACUGGUGACACCGCGAUGUUGGACUGUGUCUAUUCCGCAAAUUAUACUGUCUCACUGUUUACUUGGGAUUUAAUCGUGUUAAAGACUUGAAUUGUGUUAUUUUAAUUGCUUAAAAUGAAUUGGGUGUGUGUAGGCUGGCUUUGUCUUCACGAGAAACGCUAUCAUGAUUGGGUCUGGAUUUAGGGUCGUGACAAGAACAAGAAAGUUUUGUGGUAAAUAUAAAAAAUAUAUAUUUGAUAUAGAAUAAUAAAACUUUUAUUUUGAUAAAUUAACACUUUACAAUAGGCAUAUAUAUAUAUAUAUAUAUAUAGAGAGAGAGAGAGAGAGAUUAUUAGAUAGAUAUAUAAAGAGAGAUAGAGAGAGAUAUAGAUAUAGAUAUAGAUAGAUAAAUAUGUAAAAAUCGUUUUGGCUUUCAAAUAUACAACUACAGAAGAAAGCUUGAAAGAAACUACAGCCACACACUUUUUGCGUACAAAUAACAAGUUUAGUUUGUAUAUAAACUAGAAAAUUACCUGUGCCAACAUAUGAAUUGCAUUAUUAAAUGGUUAACCAACCAGUUAAUUAGGCAUACCGAUCACCAUGGAGUUAUUCUUGUAUAGGUGACUCUAUUUUUGUAGAGGCAUUCAUGAGAUGUUGUGGUUGUACAAUAACUUGGAUAUUAACCAGAUCAAUUGAUUAAGCAUUUAACUAUUUAAAUCUAUGUUGGACUUAUGAGGCUCAAUUGCUUCUCCCUCAAUGGCUACAGGUAAGGAACCAUAGUCCUGAGUUUAACGUCGUCAGCUCGAGUUAUUAAUUGUAGACUCCAUUAAUCUAUCAAAUUGAUAGAUGGUUGUUGCUCAAAAUGCCCUCCAAAAUAUAAUUUUAACCUGUAAUCAUUUACCUUAAAUUUUUCUCCUCCAUUGGUUUGUUGAAUUUCAAUUGGUCUGUAUGGAGUAACAUCUAUAAUAUUGUAAGGACCCGUCCUCCUGGAUUUUAAUUUUCCUGGAAAUAGCCUGAGUCUACUGUUGUAUAGAAAUACCUUAUCUCUAAUUUUAAAAUUCUUUUGUUGGAUUACAUUUUCGUGCCAUGUUUUUGUUUUUUUCUUUAAAAAUUUUGGCAUUUUUAUUGGCUUCUAAUCUAAGUCCUUCCAAUUUAUUCACCUAAGAAAAUCUAUUUUUACCAUCAGGGGUUAAAUCAAAGUUCAAUGCUUUCAAUGCCCAAAAAGCUUUGUGUUCUAAUUCAACUAGAAGAUGACAAGCUUUUCCAAACACUAAUUGAUAUGGAGACGUACCAAUUGGCGUUUUAAAUGCCAUUCUAUAUGCCCACAGCGUGUCAUCUAAUUUUGAAUCCCAGUCUUUUUUGGAGAUUCCAACCGUUUUUUCAAGUAUUCUUUUUAAUUCGCGGUUAGAAACCUCAACUUGCCCUUGUGUUUGAGCAUGAUAUGGUGUUCCUUUUUUGUGAGUCACACCAUAUUUUGACUACAAUGUUGUAAUGUCUAUUCAUGAAAUGAGACCCUUGGUCGUUAAUGAUAACUCAUGGUGUACCAAGCCUGGUAAAAAUAUUUUUCUUGAGAAAAUUAGACACAGUUUGAUCAUCAUUUUUCCUUGUUGGGAUGGCUUCAACCCAUCUUGAAACAUAAUCCACAGCCACACGGAUAUAUUCAAAAGAAUGAGAUGAAGAAAAAGGGUCUAUGAAAUCUAUUCUCCAUACAUCAAAUAUUUCACACACCUGUAUUGAUUGCAAUGGAAUCUUAUCUCUUUUAGUGAUAUUUCUUGUUCUUUGACACCUGUCACAUUGUGCAACAUAGGCACAAGCGUCCUUAAAAAGUGUUGGCCAGAAAAAUCCAACCUCUAGAACUUUAAAAGCAAUAUGAUUUGCUGUAUAAUGUCCUCCAACUGCUCAAUCGUGGCAAUGAUACAAAAUUUUGGUCAUUUCUUCUUCUGGUACACACCUUCUGAUAAUAUUAUCUGCACAAAUUUUAAACAAGUAAGGGUCAUUCCACAAAUAAUAUUUAGCAUCCGAUAUCAACUUUUUCCUCUGUUGGUAAGUGAGAUUUUGGGGUGUCAAUUUUCCAACCAAGUAAUUUGCAAUAUCUACAAACCAUGGUGGUUGAGUCACAAUUGAGUUGAUACAAAAAUAUGUUCUUUAGGAAACUCUUCUUUUAUAUCACACAACUCAAGUGGAGGGUCCUUUAAUCUAAACAAAUGGUCAGAUACCUGAUUCUCUGUUCCUUUUUUAUCUUUUAUUUCGAGCUCAAAUUCUCAGAGAAGUAAAAUCCAUCUUAACAAUCUAUAUCGGGCAUCUUUUUUUGCUAAGAGGUAUUUUAGAGUUGCAUAAUCAGUAAAAACAAUGACCUUGGUUCCUAUCAGAUAGGAAUGAAACUUAUCAAAUGCAAAUACUACUACUAGUAGUUUUUUUUCAUUGGUGGCUUAAUUUAGUUGAGCCUCAUUCAUUGUCCUAUUGGCAUAGUAAAUUGGACGAAAAGUCUUAUCUUUUCUUUGGCCUAAAACAGCUCCAACUGCUGUAUCACUAGCAUCACACAUAACCUCAAAAGGUUGGUUCCAAUCAAGGGACACAGCUAUAUGGGCAGUUGAUAAUUUUUCUUUAAGGGUGUCAAAGGCUUUCAUACAAUCACCUGAAAAUUCAAACUUAACAUCUUUCAUUAAAAGGUUAGUCAGCGGUAAGUCUUUGAACAAUCUUUUAUGAACUGUCUGUAAAAACCUGCAUGACUUAGAAAGCUUCUAAUGCCUUUAACAGUUGUGGGAGGGGGUAAUCCUGUUGUAAGAUUAAUUUUAGCAUUAUCAACUUCUAUCCCUUUAGCAGUGAUUUUGUGUCCUAAAACAAUUCUCUCAGUAACCAUAAAAUGACAUUUUUCCCAUUUAAGAAUUAAGUUUGUCUCUUCACAUCUCUUAAGAACUAAGGUUAAGUGGUGAAGACCAUCCUCAAAACCUUUGCCGAAGAGUGUAAAAUCAUACAUGAAAAUUUCAAGAAAUUUUUUAGUCAUGUCAGAAAAAAUUGCUGACAUGCAAUGCUGAAAUGUGGUAGGAGCGUUGCUGUCACGACCCUAAACCUGGACCCGAUCGUGAUGGCGCCUCUCGUGAAGACAAGGCUAGCCGACUCUUUCCCAUUUCAUUUUUAAGCAAUUAAACAAUAAUAAUUAAGACAUUUAAACAUAGUAGAACUACAAAAUAUGGUGAAUAAUACAUUUUGCAGAAUACAAAACCAACGAAGCCCGAUAUCGGGGUGUCACUAGUCAUGAGAAUCUAAAAAUCCAGAAUAAGACAAGAAUUUCUACAGAGUUCUAUACAAAUCUAAAACAAGGAGAAAUAAGAUAAGGAAAGAAGCUCUGGGCUGCGAACGCUAGCAGCUACCUAGAGAAUCUUCGGAUCCGCCCGAGCUGGAAAGAUCAACACUCACUAGCGGGAUCAGCAACGCCUGAAUCUGCACACGGGGUAUAGGGAGUAAAGUGAGUACUCCAACUCAGUGAGUAAUAAUCAUAAAUAAACGAUUGAGAGAUAUGAAAACACGUAAGGCACAUUACAGGCUAUAAUGAAGCAGUAAAACUAGUAGAAGUAGUGAAGCAGUGAUAAAGUAUAAAGUCAUUUUUAAUUCAGUUUAAACUUCAUGAAAUGCCUUUUUAACAAUUAAGCAGGUAAAUGAUAGACAAAUAAGACAGAUAAGCACAUAAAGAAUUGCCCCUCGGGCACAAUGUUAACAAUACCAGCCCCUCGGGCUAUAUCUCGCAUCACAAUGGGUACUCGCGCUCACUAGGGGUGUGCAGACUCCUGGAGGGGACCCUUACAGCCCAAGCAGAAUAUCAAGCCAUCUCAUGGCAUUAUCACUAGGCUCUCGGCCUCAUAUCAACAAGACACCUUGUGGCGUACAUAUCUCAGGCCAUCGGCCUCAUAAUCAUAAUCAGUGUUUCCUCAGAACAUAGGCCUUCGGCCUUACUCAGUCAAAAUCCUCACAAGCCACUAGGGCAAUAGCAAAACAUGAUUCUUAGCUCAAAAUAUAAUUUACAAGAUCAUUUAAGUGUCAAAACAGAGUAAGCAUGGCUGAGUUAUGAAAACAGUGGAAUAUAGCAUGACUGAGAUUAAGUAUAAAGUCAAAACAAUGAAGAAAUAUCAAUAAAAAUCCCCUAAGGGUUCAAAUAGUUGGCACGAGGCCCAAAUAUGGCAUUCAGCCCAGAACAUGAUGAUAGCAAAUAGUUUUCAGUCAAAUACGCGGUAAAACAGUCACUCGGGAUGGACUAAGUCACAAUCCUCAACAGUCCACGACCCCACGCUCGUCAUCUAGCGUGUGUGUCACCUUAAUAUUGCACAAUGAUGUGCAGCGGGGUUUCAUACCCAUAGGACAUCAUUUACAAUCAUUACUCACCUCAAUCCAGUCCAAACUCUAGUCUGCGAUGCCUUUGCCCCUCGAAUCGGCCUCCACUCGCGUCGAAUCUAUCUAAAAUCAGAAUCACGGCGUCAAAAUAUGCUAAAGGAAUGAAGCCCAAGCGAAAAUAAUCAUUAUACAACACAAAUCACAAAAUUACCAAAACCUGACCCCCAGGCCCACGUCUCGGAAUUCGACAAAAUUCACAUCAAUAGGUUCCUUAUCUCCCCACGAGUUCGUACAUAUCAAAAGUACCAAAAUCCGACCACAAAUGGUCUCUUAAAUCCUCAAGUCUAGGUCUCCAAUACCAAGCCCUAGUUUCCCCAAUUCUAACCCUUAAAUUCCAUUAAUUAUAGCUCUAAUCCGUGAAAUAAUACCAUAGGAACGAAUUUUAGGUCCAAAAUCCUUACCUCAAUGAAUUUCCCUUGAAAUCCUUAUUCAAAAUCGUCCAAAAAACUCCAAAGCCGACUUAAAAAUUGUGGAAUAGCUCAAAAAUCACGAAGGACACAAUUUAUAUGUUCUGACCUAGGCAUUUUCGCAUCUACGGUCAAUCCACCGCAUCUGCGGUACCGCUUUUACGGUACAAGAGCCGCUUCUGCGGUUUUCACUUAUCCUCCAGCUUUCCGCAUCUGCAAUGCACCGGCCGCACCUACGCCAUCGUAGGUGCAGUUCACCAACCGCUUCUGCGGUUUCUGCCUCCCUCAAUUUCUUUCGCUUCUGCGGCCUUCCCCCUCGCAUCUACGAUAUCGCACCUGCGGUCCCCAAUCCGCAGGUGCAAAAAUACCAGAAGCAGAAAAUCUGCAGCUUCUACAAAAAUUCCAAACUCUCUGUCAACCAUCCGAAACCACCCCGAGGCCCCCGAGACCUCAACCAAAAGCAUAAACAUAUCCCAUAACCUUAUUCAAACUUAUACCAAUCUUCAAAACAUCUUAAACAACAUCGUAUCAACCAAAACAAAUCGGAUUCAAGCCUAAGUUUCCAAAUUCUUCUGAAUUACGCUUUUGAUCAAAAACCCAAACAAACCAAGUCGGAAUGACCUUAAAUUUUGCACACACAUCCCAAAUGACACAACGGAACUACUGCAACUCUCAGAAUUCCAUUCCGGCCCCUAUAUCAAAAUAUGACCUAUCAACCGAAAAUCGCCAAAAUACCAACUUCGCCAAUUCAAGCCUACAUCUACUCCGAACCUCAAAAACUCAUUUUGAUCACGCUCUUAAGUCUCAAAUCACCUCCCGAAGCUAUCCGAACCAUCAGAACUCACAUUCGAGCCCUCUAUCACAUAAGUCAACAUCUGGUUGACUUUUCCAACUUAAGCUUCCUCAAAAGAGACUAAGUAUCUUAAACCUUACCAAAUCCUUUUCGAACCCGAGCCAACCAACCCGAACACAUAUAGAACCAACAAACAAAGCAAUAAGAAGCAUAAAUGAGGGAAACGGAGCGGUAACUCAUGAGAUGACUGGCCGGGUCAUCACAUCCUCCCCAACUUAAACAAACGUUUGUCCUUGAACGAGUCAAGAAACAUACUUGAAGCCUCGAAUAGGUGAGGAUAUCUGCUCUGCAUCUCCUGCUUGGUCUCCCAGGUAGCCUCCUCCACGGGCCGACCUCUCCACUGCACUUUCACUGAAUCUCCUUUGACCUCAGCUUUCGAACCUGACGCUCUAAAAUAGCUGCUCGCUCCACAUCAUAAGUCAAAUCACCAUCCAACUGAACCGUUCUGAAGUCCAGAACAUGAGACAUAUCCCCAAUAUACUUCUGGAGCAUAGAAACUUGAAUACUGAAUGCACACUCGAUAAGCUGGGUGGCAAAUCAAGCUCAUAAACCACAUCCCCAAUCCUCCGAAGCACCUCAAAAGGCCCAAUGAACCGAGGACUCAAUUUACCUUUCUUACCAAAUCUCAUGACACCCUUCAUGGGCGAAACCUUCAACAGAACCUUCUCGCCAACCAUGUAGGACACAUCUCAAACCUUCCUAUCAGCAUAACUCUUCUGCCUUGACUGCACUGUACGAAGCCUCUCCUGAAUUACCUUCACCUUUUCUAAAGCAUCCUAAAAAAAGUCUGUCCCCAAUAGCCUAGCCUCACCCGGCUCAAACCAACCAACUGGAGAUCUACACCGCCUCCUAUACAAAGCCUUAGAUUGAGCUAUUUGAAUACUCGACUGGUAGCUAUUGUUAUAAGCAAACUCUGCAAGUGGUAGAAACUGAUCCCAUGACCCUCCGGAAUUAAUGACACAAGCAUGCAAUCUUCAAUAUAUGAAUAGUGCACUCAGACUGCCCGUCCGUCUGAGGGUGAAAAGUUGUGCUCAACUCAACCUGAGUACUCAACUCUCGCUGCACAGACCUCCAAAACUGUGAAGUAAACUGAGUGCCCCUAUAUGAGAUGAUGGAAACUGGGACACCAUGCAAACAAACAAUCUCCUGGAUAUAGAUCUCUGCCAACCGCUCUGAAGAAUAGGUAGUACACACAGGAAUGAAGUGCGCGAACUUGGUCAGCCAAUCCACCAUCACCAAAAUAGCAUCGAACUUCUUCAAAGUCCAUGGAAGUCCAACUACAAUGUCCAUAGUGAUCCGCUCCCACUUCCACUAUGGAAUAUCUAUCCGCUAAAGCAAGCCGCCCGAUCUCUGAUGCUCAUAUUUCACCUGCUGACAAUUGAGACACCGAGCUACAAAUCCCACAAUAUCCUUCUUCAUUCUUCUCCACCAAUAAUGUUGUCUUAGAUCCUGAUACAUCUUCACGGCACCCGGAUGAAUAGAAUACUGCGAGCUAUGGGCCUCCUCUAGAAUCAACUCUCGAAGCCCAUCCACAUUGGGCACACAUAUCCGGCCCUGCAUCCUCAACACCCCAUCAUCACCAAUGGUCACAUCUCUAGCAUCAUCAUGUUGAACUCUGUCCUUAAGGAAAAGCAAAUGCGGAUCAUCAUACUAGUGCUCUCUGAUGCAAUCAUAUAAGGAAGACCGAGAAACCGCACAAGCCAAUACCCGACUAGGUUCCAAAAUAUCUAACCUCACGAACCGAUUGGUCAAGGCCUGAACAUCAACUGCAAGAGGUCUCUCCCCAACUGGAAUAUAUGCCAAACUCCCCAUACUUACUGCCUUUUGGCUCAAAGCAUCGGCCACCACAUUUGCCUUUCCUGAAUGGUAUAAUAUAAUGAUAUCAUAAUCCUUUAGCAAUUCCAACCAUCUCCGCUACCUCAAAUUAAGAUCCUUAUACUUGAACAAGUGCUGGAGGCUAUGAUGAUCAGUAAACACCUCACAAGACACACCAUAAAGAUAGUGCCUCCAAAUCUUCAACCCAUGAACUAUAACAGCCAACUCCAAAUCAUGAAAGGGGUAGUUCUUUUCAUGGGGCUUCAACUAACGAGAAGCAUAAGCAAUAACUCUACCCUCCUGCAUCAACACACAACAAAUACCAACUCUCGAAGCAUCACAAUACACGGUAUAUGAACCUGAAGUUGAUGGCAAAACUAACACUGGAGUUGUGGUCAUGGCUGUCUUGAGCUUCUAAAAGCCUCCUCACACUCAUCCGACCAUACAAAUGAAGCACCCUUCUGAGUCAACUUGGUCAAGGGCGAUGCGAUAGAUGAGAAUCCCUGAACAAAUCGGCGAUAAUAUCCUGCCAAACCAAGAAAGCUGCGAAUCUAUGUGGCUGAGGAUGGUCUGGGCUAACUCUGAACCGCCUCUAUCUUCUUCGGAUCAACCUGAAUACCCUUGCUGAAUACCACGUGCCCCAAGAAAGCCACUGAAUUGAGCCAAAACUAACACUUGGAGAAUUUUGCAUAAAGCUUCUCCUCCCUCAAUCUGUGCAACAAAACUCUCAAAUGCUCCGCGUGCUCCUACUGACUACGCGAAUACACUAGAAUAUCAUCAAUGAAGACUAUGACAAACGAGUUGAGAUAAGAACAAAACACGUUGUUCAUCAAAUGCAUGAACGAUGAUGGGGUAUUGGUCAGCCCAAAAGACAUUACCAAGAACUCAUAAUGACCAUAUCGGGUCCUUAAAGCUGUCUUAAGAAUAUCUGAGUCCCUGAUCUUCAACUGGUGAUAACCUGAAUAGAGAUCAAUCUUGUAGAACACUCUUGCUCCCUGAAGCUGGUCGAAUAAAUCAUCAAUGUGAGGCAAAGGAUACUUGUUAUUAAUUGUUACCUUGUUCAAUUGCCUAUAAUCAAUGCACAUCCUCAUAGUGCCAUAACUUUUCUUCACAAAUAGAACCGGUGCACCCCAAGGUGACAUGCUAGGCCGAAUGAACCCCUUAUCAAGGAGUUCCUAAAGUUGCUCCUUUAAAUCCUUCAACUCCGCUGGUGCCAUAUGAUACGGCGGAAUAGAAAUAGGUUGAGUGCCUGGCACCAGGUCAAUACCAAAAUCAAUAUCCCUGUCCGGUGGCAUGCCCGACAGGUCUGCAGGAAACACAUUGGGAAAAUCCCUCACAACUAGAACAGAAUCAAUAUUGGGAGUCUCUACACCGACAUCCCUCAUAAAGGCUAGAUAUGAAAGAAAACCCUUCCCAACCAUACACUGGGCUUUCAAGAAUGAGAUCACUCUACUAGGAACAUAAUCAGUUACACCUCGCCACUCAAUCUGUGGCACACCCGAUAUAGCCAAUAUGAGUGUCUUAGCAUGACAGUCCAGAAUAGCAUUUCACGGAGAUAGCCAAUCCAUGCCCAAAAUGACAUCGAAAUCCACCAUACACAAUAAUAAAAGAUCAACUCGGGUCUCUAGACCCCCAAUAGUCACCACACACGACCGGUACACAUGGUCUACAACAAUAGUAUCGCCCACCGGGGUUGAUACAUGAACAGGUGAAACAAGAGACUCACGGGGCGUACCCAAAUAACGAACAAAGUAUNNNNNNNNNNNNNNNNNNNNNNNNNGACUGAAAUAAUACCUGUAAUGACAGCAUCGGAAGCAAUAGCAUCGAGUCUAGAUGGAAGUGCAUAGAAACGGGCCUAACCGCCACCUGAUUGACCUCCCCCUCUGGGAUGGCCUCUAGCUGACUGACCUCCACCCCUAGCUGGGUGGGUGGGUGAUGAUGAAGUAACUGGUGCUGAAGCCGAUGACUGACCCCUCUGCUGAGAUGAACCCACAAGACGCGAGGACACUGCCUCCACAUAUGGACCAUCUCUCCACACUCAUAACAACUCCCAGGUGUUGGAGAAGGGGACUGAAGGGAACCCCUAGCACCGGAAUGACUAGCAGAUGCACUUGGCAUAGAAGAGCCCUAAACUGAUGGAGCACGGGAUAAACUCUGAGCUGGAAGGGAACUAAGUGAUGACUGGCCCUAAUGAGAACUGUGAGAAUCAUGACCCGAUGACACCCCACGAUUACCUGGGCGAGGUAACUAGGCAUGCCUGAAUGGAUGGCCUCUGCUGUGCUGAAACUGACCUCUCAAAGGAGUACCACUAUAACUACUAGAUCCUCAAGGCCUCUUGGCCUCCCUCUCCUCUCACUCCUAGCGACGAAAAUACUCAAUCUCACGAGCAAUGUCCACAACCUCCUCGAAGGUAGCACCAGUCACCCUCUCCCUCGUCAUGAGAAUAUGAAGUUGAUAAGUGAGGCCAUCAACGAACCUCCUAAUCCUCUCUCUAUCUGUCGGAACCAACCAAAUAGCAUGACGAGCUAACUCGGAGAACCUCAUCUCAUACUGCAUCGCAGUCAUCUCUCCCUGACGCAGCAACUCAAACUCCCUACGCAACUCCUCUCUGCGAGACUGUGGUACAUACUUUUCCAGAAAGAGAACGGAGAACUGCUGCUAGGUAAGUGGUGUUGCACCAAUAGGCCUAUGCCUCUCAAAGGUCUCCCACCAAGUGAAGGCAGCUCCAGAAAACUGAUAAGUAGUGAAAGCAACCCCGCUGGUCUCUAGAAUACCCAUUGUACGAAGCAUCCUCUGACACUUAUCCAAGAAACCCUAGGCAUCCUCACCCUCUGCACCACUGAAGGUUGGAGGCUGAAGUAUAUCAAACCUUUCCAACCUACGCUGUUUGUCCUCUGGUAUGGCAGGAACUACAUAGUCCCGAGAAGCUACGAUCGACUGGGCUGGAUGCGCCCCCGGUGUCUGAAGUCCCUGGACGACCUACUCAGGUGUGCGAGCAUCGGGAGUUUGAUUGCCUCUCUUGGCCUGAGAAGUAGCUGCGGCUGUAGUAGCUGAGAUCGCCUGAGCUAGGCUAGUGCAAACUGAUAGGAUCUGAGCCAAAGCCUCCUAAAGACCCGGAAUCACAAUGGGUACAACUGGUGCCUGAGCUGGUGCUGCUAAAGCAUCCAUAACUAGGACCUGAUCCUAAACUGGGGCGGCUGGUGGAUCUGCAGGUGCUGCUCUAGCUACUGUGUGGGCCACACCUCUGCCCCUACAACGACCAUGUCCUCGGCCUCUAGUGGCCAUGGUUGGUGGUACUGGUGGUUGUCCAUCAUAACCGGUAGAGCGUGUCCUCACCAUCUGUGAGAGAAUAGAAUGAUAGAAGUUUAGUACUCACAUCAACAAAUUCGCACGACAAAAGUCUCAAGAAUGUGAAGUUUUUCCUAAAGGUUUUGUAGCCUCUCGAGGAUAAAUACAGACGUCUCUAUACCGAUCCGCAAGACUCGACUAAACCUGCUCAUGACUCGUGAGAUAUAUGUAACCUAGGCUCUAAUACCAACUUGUCACGACCCUAAACCCAGACUCGGUCGUGAUGGCGCCUCUCAUGAAGAUAAGGCCGGCAGACUCUUUCCCAUUCCAGUUUUAAGCAAUUAAACAAUAAGAAUUAAGCCAUUUAAACAUAAUAGAACUCCAAAAUACGGUGAAUAAUACAGUUUGUAGAAUACAAAACCAACACAGCCCGAUACCGGGGUGUCACUAGUCAUGAGCAUUUAAAAAUUCGGAAUAAGACAAGAAAGUCUAUAGAGUUCAAUACGAAUCUAAAACAAGGAGAAAUAAGAUGAGGGAAGAAGCUCUGAGCUGCAAAUGCCGACAGCUACCUAGAGAAUCUUCGGAUCCGCCCGAGUUGGAAAGAUCAACACUCACUAGCGGGAUCAGCAACACCUGACUCUGCACACGGGGUGCAGGGAGUAAAUUGAGUACUCCAACUCAAUGAGUAAUAAUCACAAAUAAAUGACUAAGAGAUAUGAAAACAUGUAAGGCACAUUACAUGCUAUAAUGAAGCAGUAAAACCCGUAGAAGCAGUGAUAACAUGUAAAGUCAUUUUUAAUUCAGUUCAAACUUCAUGAAUGCCUUUUUAACAAUUAAGCAGUUAAAUGACAGACAAAUAAGAUAGAUAAGCACAUAAAGGAUUGCCCCUCGGGCACAAUGUUAACAAUAUCAGCCCCUCAGGCUAUAUCUCACAUCACACUGGGUACUCGCGCUCACUGGGAAUGUGCAGACUCCUGGAGGGGCCCCUUAUGGCCCAAGCGCAAUAUCAAGCCAUCUCGUGGCAUCAUCACUAGGCUCUUGGCCUCAUAUCAACAAGCCACCUCAUGGCGUACAUAUCUCCGGCCCUCGACCUCAUAAUCAUAAUCAGUGUUUCCUCACAACAUAGGCCCUCAUUCUUAAUCAGUAAAAAUCCUCACAAGCCACUCGGGCAAUAGCAAAGCAUGAUUCUCAGCUCAAAAUAUCAUUUACAAGAUCAUUUAAGUGUUAAAACAGAGUAAGCAUGGUUGAGUUACGAAAACAGUGGAAUAUAGCAUGACUGAGUUCAAGUAUAAAGUCAAAACAGUGAGGAAAUAUCAAUAAAAAUCACUUAAGGAUUCAAAUAGUUGGCACGAGACCCAAAUAUUACAUUCAGUCCAAAACAUGCUGAUAGCAUAUAGUUUUCAGUCAAAUACGCGGUAAAACAGUUACUCGAGAUGGACUAAGUCACAAUCCCCAACAUUACACGACCCCACGCUCGUCAUCUAGUGUGUGAGUCACCUCAAUAUAGCACAACGAUGUGCAAUCCAGGGUUCUAUACAAUUAGGACAUCAUUUACAAUCAUUACUCACCAUAAUCUGGUCCAAACUCUAUCCUGCGACGCCUUUGCCCCUCGAAUCGACCUCCACUCGCAAUGAAUCUAUCCAAAAUCAGAAUCACAACAUCAAAAUAUGCUAAGGGAACGAAGCCCAAGCGAAAAUAAUCAUUAUACAACACAAAUUCGAAAUUACAAAAACCGGACCCUUUGACCCAUAGCUUGGAAUUCAACAAAAUUCACAUCAAUAGGUUCCUUAUCUCCCCAUGAGUUCGUACAUAUCAAAAGUACCAAAAUCCGACCACAAAUGGUCCCUCAAAUACUCAAGUCUAGGUCUCCAAUUCCAAGCCCUAGUUUCCCCAAUUCUAACCCUUAUAUUCCAUUAAUUAUAGCUCUAAUCCGUAAAAUAAUACCAUAGGAACGAGUUUUAGGUCCAAAAUCCUUACUUCAAUGAAUUUCCCUUGAAAUCCUUUUUCAAAAUCGUCCAAAAACCUCCAAAGCCGACUUAAAAUGGUAGAAUAGCACAAAAAUCGCGAAGGACACAAUUUAUAUGUCCUGACCCAGGCAUUUUCGUGACUGCAAUCAAUUCACUGCAUCUGCGUUACUGCUUUUGCGGUCCAAAAGCCGCUUCUGCGGUUUUCACUUAUCCUCCAGCUUUCUGCAUCUGCGAUGCACCAGCCGAACCUGCGCCAUCGUAGGUGAAGUUCACCAACCGCUCUUGCAGUUUCUGCCUCCCUCACUUUCUUCCGCUUCUGCAUCCUUCCCCCUCGCAUCUGCGGCACCGCAUUUGCGGUCCCCAAUCCGCAUGUGCGGAAAUAGCAGAAGCAGAAAAUCUGUAGCUUCUACAAAAAUUCCAAACUCUCCAACAAUCAUCUGAAACCACCCCGAGGCCCUCGGGACCUCAACCAAAAGUACAAACAUAUCCCAUAACCUUAUUCAAACUUAUACCAAUCUUCAAAACAUCUCAAAUAACAUCGGAUCAACCAAAACACAUCGAAUUGAAGCCUAAAUUUCCAAAUUCUUCCGAAUUACGCUUUUGAUAAAAAACUCAACCAAACCACGUCCGAAUGACCUGAAAUUUUGCACACACAUCCCAAAUGACACAAUAGAACUAGUGCAACUCUCGAACUUCCAUUCCGACCCAUAUAUUAAAAUCUCACCUAUCAACCGGAAAUUACCAAAAUACCAACUUCGCUAAUUCAAGCCUAAAUCUUCUUCGAACCUCAAAAACUCAUUCCGAUCACGCUCCUAAGUCUCAAAUGACCUCCCAAAGCUAUCCGAACCAUCGAAACUCAUAUCCGAACCCUCUAACACAUAAGUUAACAUCCGAUUGUCUUUUCCAACUUAAUCUCCCUCAAAAGAGACUAAGUGUCUCAUAUCUUACCAAAUCCUUUCCGAACCCGAGCCAACCAACCUGAUCAUACAUAGAACCAACAAACAAAGCAAUAAGAGGCAAAAAUUGGGGAAACAGAGCGGUAACUCAUGAGACAACUGGCAGGGUCAUCACAGUUGCACAAACCAAAUGGCAUUCUCCUAUGUGCAUAUGUUCCAUGAGGACAUGUGAAAGUUGUCUUAUCUUGAUCUUUUGGUGCGAUUGGGAUUUUGUUAUACCCUGAAUAGCCAUCGAGAAAAUAAUAAAAACUAUAUCCUGCAAUAUUUUCCUACAUUUGAUCAAUAAAUGUCAAAGUAAAGUGAUUUUUUCUAGUGGCAUCAUUGAGACGUCUAUAAUCUAUACAGACUCUUCAUCCUGUGACAGUCCUGGUAGGUAUUAGUUCAGUAUUUUUAUUUUUUAUCACUGUCAUACCUCCAUUUUUUGGUACAACCUGAACAAGACUUACCCAAGGCUGUCUGAAAUAGGGUAAAUAAUACUUGUCUCACCUCAAUUUGUGUGCGCAGUCCAGGUGCAUUUCCGGAAAAGCUAUUAUGUGAAAACUAAGUAAAAUAAGGAAAUUUGCUUUUAAAAUUGAAUAAAGUUGACUUUGCUCAACAGUCUUGGUAAACAGACCCAGACCCGUGAUGCAACUAUCUCGUAGGAUCCAUAGUAAAAUUUGGGACUUGGGCGUAUGCUCGAAAUCGAAUUCCAAGGUCCCAAGCCCGAGAAAUGAAUUUUUGAAAGAAAUUGUUUAACUGAAGUUAUAAGAGUUUUUGGAAAUGAAAAGAUGUUUCAAAUUGAUGGUAUCGGGUCCGUAUUUUUAUCUGGAGCUCGGUACAGGUCUUAAAUAAUAAUUAAGUUGAAUCUGUGAAGUUUGGUAAGAAUCGGAGUUCGUUUAGUAUAAAUCAAACCUUUAUUUGAGAAAUUGGAAAUUUUGAUGUUCUCGAGUGAUUUCAUGAAUUUGAGGCUUAAUUCAUAGUUGUUGAUGUUAUUUUGAUGAUUUGAUCGCACGAGCAAGUCUGUAUGAUGUUUUUGGACUUGCGUGCAUGUUUGGUUUAGUGCCUCGAGGGCUCGGGUGAGUUUUGGAUAGGCCACAGAGUGAAAUUGGAUUUAGGAAAACUGUUGUUGUGUUGCAGGUCUGCAGGCUUCGCAAUUGCAAAGCCUGGCUCGCAAAUGCGAGCUCGCAUUUGCAAAGAAACAUCACAAUUGUGAUGAUGGACUGGGAAAGGGAGACCUUCGUAUAUGCGAGGCUCAUGUCGCAAAUGCGACCUUAACAGGCACCACAAUUGCGAACAAUUGUUCGCAUUUGAGAAGAAAGCAGAGGUGGGCCUUCCUUGGUAAUUGCGAAGCUUUGGCCGUAAUUGUGAGUUCGCAUUUGCGAACAUGACAUCGCAAAUGCGAUAUCUACGCCUGUGUAAAAUCAAACUUAGACAAAAAUUCUUCAUUUUUCAAACUCCCUCGAACCCUAAGCUCUCUUGGGCGAUUUUCAAAAGAAUAGUUCUUCUCCAAAUCGAUUGUAAGUCAUUUCUAACUUAUUUUAUUCAAUCUAUAACAUCUUUUCACAUGAUUUCAAUUCAAAAUCAAGGGUUUUCAUGGGGAAAUUGGGUGUUUUGGGUAGCACUUAGGAUUUUCAUAUUUUGGGGAUUUGGACGUCGAUUUGAGGUCCAAUUUCAAAACAAAUUAUAUAUUUGAGUUCGUGGGUGAAUAGGUAAUCGAGUUUUGGUUCAAACCUUGGAUUUUGACCAUGUGGUCCCGGGGUCAAUUUUUGUCUUUUUGGGAAAAAGAUUAAGUAAAUUGUGGCUAGAUACAAGCGAAUUGGUGGCGGAAACAAAAGGUAAAGCAGUAGUUGAGGCUUGAAUUGUGUUUGUGGCAUUGAGGUAAGUGUUUGGUCUAACCUUAGCUUGAGAGAUUAGGAGUUGUAUCUUAUUUUCUAUGUGUUAAUUGUUGAGUACAACGUAUAGGUGUGGUGACAAGUAUCUAUACGUUGGUGUCAAGCAUGCCCGUGAGUCUUAUACUAUGAUUAAUGUGACUCUGUUUCGUAUUGUUCAUGCUUUAUAUGAUGAUUUCUAUCGUUGAACAAGGCCUGUGGAAGUAUUAUUGGUAAUUGAACAUUGUAGAGCAUUGGCUCAAGUUGAGAAUUGAGGUGUGAAGUAAUUGUGUAAAAGAGAAGAGGUUUAUGAUAUUGUCUCCCUUGCCGAGAUGUUAUUUUUUUUGAUAUUAUCUCCCUUGCCGGGAUGUUAUUACUCAUGAUAUUGUUUCUCUUGCCAGAAUAUUGUUAUUAUGAUAUUGUUCCCUUGCCGGGAUUUUAUUGUGAUAUUAUUGAUUCCCUUGCCCAAAUUGCUUUGUGGUUGUUGCUUGGGUGAGGAAGAGUGUAAAGCACUAAGGGUGACGAUGUGCAUGAUUUUAAGAGUAUUAAUGCACGAAGGGUGAUGUUGUGCCAAUAUUGUGAGGUAAAAGCAUGAAAGGUGAUGUCGUGCCACACGAUAUAAAAUGUCGUGCCACACGAUAUAAAAUGUCGUGCCAUGAUAUGAUUGAUAUUGCACGAAGAAUAAUUCCGUGUCAUGAUUAUGUGAGGUAAAAGCAUGAAGGGUGAUGCCGUGCCGAUUAUAUUGAUUUUUAAGGUGAGAACGAGAGUAAAAGCACGAAGGGUGAUGUCGUGCACUUGUCAUGAUUUCCUUAUUCUUGCUUAUAGUUGAAUUUUCGUGUUCCUUUCACUUAUUUACUGAAAUUUUGUUACAUGAUAUUCCCCGCAGCAUGUUUCCCCUUCCCAUAUUUAACUACUAGUAUUUGUCAUUAUUACUUGCUGUAUAUGAUAUAACUUCACAAGUUUUAUUUGGUAGUCUUAUCCUAGCCUCAUUACUACUUCGCCGAGGUUAGGCUAGGCACUUACCAGCACAUGGGGUCGGUUGUGUGAUACUACACUCUGCACUGUGUGCAGAUCCCGAUGCUGCAGCUUUGGACCACAAUGAGGUUGCUGCCUUCAGUCCAUCAGGCGACCCGAGGUAGUCCUACAGGCGUCCGUAGGCCUUGGCGUCCCCUUCUUAUCUAGUAUUCUUUUGUUCUUUAUCUUCUAGAGACAGACAUGUAUCUAUUUUUUUCUAACCCUAUUUGUAGUAUUCUUAGAUACUCUGUGAUAUUGUGACACCAGUUCUGGGCAGCUUAUGUUUAUGGAUUUGUAUCGGUAUUAUUUUAAAUUGUUAUAUUUCAUUCUUCUGCUUUAUUAUUUCCGUUGUUUAUAAAAUGUUAACUCUUAAUUGUUAAGGUAUUAAAAAUGAAAAGAGUUAAAUAAUUGGUAUAAUUGGCUUGCCUAGCUUUCAUUAGUAGGCGCCAUCAUGACUCCCGGGGGUGGGAAAUCCGGGUCGUGACACCUUUGGGGUUGGACUAUCGGUUUGUAGCUAUCCUCUAUGAGGAUUUUGUGUGUACAAAUUGCUGGAUUAAUCCCUUUGAUAUCUUUUAUAGUCCAUUACAAGCCUACUUUGUGUGCUUUCAAUACUUCAAUCAAUCUUUCUUCCUAUUCUAUAGUUAGAGAAGAUGAAAUAAGUACAAGGAAUAACUCAUGCUCAAGAUAGACAUAUUUCAAAUGAGAAGGAGAGUUUUGAGUUUAAUUUUUGGUUGAACUUCUUCUAAUUGCAUGUUGCCUUACUCAUAAUCUUAUUCCAAUAAUUUUGCAUCAUUUCUGAUAGCCGGAUCUUCAUCAUGUGUGGUGCCAGAUUUGCCCAAACAUUUUUCAAUUGAGUCAGAAAUUAAUUGAUCGUCUUUGAAUUCAUCUAUAAGAUUAUUAAUCAUGUCAAUUGAAAAGCAUGAAGAUGAUGUAUCAUCUUUUGAGAAUCUUAGUAUCUUUUGCAUAUCAAAAAUAACUCUUUCUUUAUCAACUCUUAAAAUUAGUUGUCCUUGAUGGACAUCUAUGAUUGCCCUGUCUGUUUCAAGAAAUGGUCUACCCAAAAUAAUUGGUUCAUCAAAACACUCCUCCAUUUCAAGUACUGUGAAAUCUAUAGGAAAAACAAGUUUAUCUACUCUUACAAGUACAUUUUCAAUUAUUCCCUUUGGUCUCUUAGUACUUUGAUCAGCAAAUUUAAGUGAAACACCUGUGUCUUUCAUUUCAUCAAGAUCUUAUUUUUUUAAAAUAGAAAAUGGCAUCAAAUUUAUUGAAACUCCAGAAUCACAAAAUGCUUUUUCAAUGUAUACUCCGCCCAGAGUACAUGGAAUUGUGAAACUACCUGGGUCACCGAGUUUUUGUGGUAGCUUAUUUUAAAGUAUAGCACUGCAUUUUCAAUAAGCAUUACUACAGAAACUUAUUCCAUUUUCUUUUUGCUUGAUAAAAUUUCUUUUAGAAAUUUGGCAUAUGAAGGCAUUUGCAAUAAAGAAUCAGUAAAAGGAAUGUUGAUGUGAAUUUGUUUUAAAAUCUCCAAAAACUUUGCAAAUUGAUUAUCCAGCUUUUCUCUUUUCAUCUUUUGUGGGAAAGGAAUUGUAACAGGGAAAGAAGUCAAAUUUUUAGUAUUUUUUUUCUUCAUUUUUCUUGGCUUCUUUCUCUUCUGAUGGUUGAGAGGGUGUCUCAACAUUCUCACCAUUGCCUACCUGUUAUUCUGAUUGAUUCUUUUAUUGUUUGUUUGCAUAGGGUUCAUCAAAAGUCAUACCUGACCGUAAGCCCAUGGCCUUAAGGUGUUCUUUUGAAUUUUCUCUAUAUUGCUCGGUAAAGGACCUUGAAUCUUUUCAGACACAAGAGUUGUCAAUUGGCUUAACUGAAUUUCAAGAUUUUUUAGAGCUGAAUUUUGACUUUCCAUUUUUUCAUCCGUAACCUUAAUGUACUUGUACAAAAGGUCAUAAAGACUUGGAUGGCCUUGUUGAGGCCUUUGCUGAUAUUGAGUUGCUUGCUGAUAAGGCCUGAAAUUUUGUUGUCCACAAUUUUAAUUUUGAUAUCCGGGUGGACUUUGUACAUGUUGUUUUUGCUAGUUUUGAGAGUUUUCAGCACCAUUUGCAUUGCUCCAUUGAAAUCCUGGAUGUUUUUGUGCUAAUAGACUUCCAAAAGGAUACAGCUUAUAUCUGAUAACAUUGACCUGUUCAUUAUUUUAAUUAGUUUCUUGACAUUCAUGGUUUAGAUGGUUUCCUCCACACAAGUCACAAGCCUCACACUGGCUUGGUUGUUAUGUAUUUACCUGAAAAGAUUCAAAUAUUUGUGCCAAAGAAAUAAUUUGUUGUGUUAGUGUAUUUAAAACAUCCACCUGAUUUACUGUAGUAGCUUUCUUAACGAUUACACGCUCAGAUGGCCACUGUAUGGUAUUUUCAGAAAUUUCAUUAAGCAAUUGCAAUGCUUCUUCUGUGGUUUUUCCCAUUAUGGAACCUCCUGCAUCUGCAUCUAUUAUAUUUCUAGAAAAAGGUUUUAACCCAUGAUAAAAAAUAUAGAACUGCAUAUGUUCAGGAAUGUCAUGGUGUGGACAUUUCCUUAACAUUGCUUUCAAUCUUUCCCAAGCUUAAUAAACUGACUCAGUGUCAGUCUGCAAGAAGUUAGAUUUAUCUUGUCUUAACUUUGUUGUUUUAGCAGGGAAAAAAUAUUUAUUUAAAAAUUUCUGAGUCAUUUGGUCCCAUGUGGUAAUAGACCCUUGCGACAAACUUCAUAACCAAGUUUUGGCCUCUUCUUUUAAAGAAAAAGGAAAUAGCCUUAACUUAAUUACCCCAGGAGUUACUCCAUUAUGCUUUGCAGUUUCAACCAAUUCUAAAAAGUCAAUUAAAUGACUAUGUGGAUCUUCACUUAGAUCACCAAUGAAAAUACAAGAUUGUUGAAUUGUUUGAAUCAGGCCUGUCCUGAUUUCUAAGUUAUUGGCUCCUACUGGAGGUUUCCUGACACAAGAUUCAUAGUUAAAGCGAUCAGGUCUAGCAUAAUCCCUUAGAAUUCUGUUUGUUGGUCUUGGCGCCACUUCAUCAAAUUGUUCCUCUACAUGAGCUGGUGGUGGAAUUUGUAGUGGAUUGUUAUCAUCUUCUAAUUGGUGCUCCAUUUUAUUACAAUUUAUGUUUUGAAAUGAUAUUUCUCCUUUCCUGCACAAUCACAAACUUUUUUCAAUUUCAGGAUCGUAAUUGGCCAACUCUGUUGUAAAAGAGCGGGUCAUAAACUAUCUGAAAUUAAAGUAAAAUAAAGACAAUUCCUAAAAUAGUAAUAGAUAAUUUUAAAAAUAAAUAAUAAAAAAAUAGUACGGUAAUAUUAUAGUUAACUAAAACAAUAAGUUGUAACUAACCAUCAAAAGAAAUAAUAUAAUACUAAUUAUAUUAUAUGAAAAAAAACUUCAAUAACAAAUCAAGUAUGCUAAAGGAUUGAAGUACUAUCAAUUAAAAAAAGUUGAAUAAAAUAUUAUUUUAUAAAAAUAUAGUAAAAGUAAAAGUUAUAAUAAUAGUAAUAUAGAAUAGUACAAAGGAUACUUUUAGCACUAGAAUAGUAAAAACAAGUACUUACAAUUAUAAUAAUAAUAAUAAAAAUAAUAAAAUAUACUUAAAAAUGACAAAUACAAAAAUAGUGAGAUUGUGAAUCACAAAACUAAUAUAUUAUACUAUUAUAUAGAUAUUAGUACUAAUAAUAAUAGUAUAAUAAUAAAAUAUAAAAUAAAGUAGGUUGAAGUACUAACUAUGAGGGAUUUUUUUAAUAUAUUUGUUAACAAUAUUAUAUACAAUUGCUCCUAAUAAUAGUAACAGUAAUGAUAGUAGUAUGUAGGAGAUAAUAUUUUGAAGGGAAAGUUAACAAUAAUAAUAAAUUCUCAAAUUAGUAACAAAAUAUUUAAUCUGAAGUAGAUGUGUGUCAAUCCCCGGCAACGGCGCCAAAAAUUGGACGAAGCUUGUGUGUAUAGGAUUUUCUGCUCGUACUCUGUCAAAUUCUAGUAUAGUUUAUGAUAUCGUCCCACAGAGACUGGACAAUCUAAGCUAUAGACUUGUAAUAUUUUGACUACUAUUUGGGAGAACCAAAUUGAUGAAAGGUGUGUUUGAAAUUAUAAAUUAAGACAAUUUUCUUCCGAAAAGUUUAUAUUUAAAAAGAGUUGGGAAUCAUUGAAUUCACUUGAUAUAUCAUUACAAUAAAAUCUCGGUUUCAUACGUAUUUAUUUAAAGAAUAAUUGCUUAUUGCUAAUACAAUUAUAUUUUUAAACUAAGAAAUAAAUGAAUACUUAACACUCCGUGAGGUUAUGUCCAUUAAUUGAUUUAAAACUAAUGACGAUUAAACUGAAAUAUCUUGCCUGAAUUGUGCUCAAGCGUAGUAAAAACUUCGUGAGCUUAUUUUUACUAGAAAAUCAAUAAUCUUGCCUUCAACAAUUCCUCCAUGCGAAUUAAAACUGAGGAAAGCAAGAUUACAGACUCGAAAUAAUAAUCUUAAGGAAAAUUACUUUCACUCUAAUAUUCUAUGCUCAAGUGUAGUGUCACGACCCAAUUUCACUUCAGGUCGUGAUGGCGCCCAACACCGUUGUCGGGCAAGCCAACGCGGAAAUAUUGAUAAGUUCUAGUUUUACUUUUUCCAAAACAGUUACCACAAUCUCUAAGUUUGAAUUUAAAACAAGCAAUAAUUAACAUCGUACCAUAAUAGUUAUACAAUCCAAACAAAAAAUAGUCUACUAAUAUCUGUGCCAAGACCUGGUAUCACAAGUAUGUGGGCAUCUAGUAGGAUAUACGAAAGAAUAAUUCUAUCAUACUGUCUGAAAUAGAAUAGACAGCCAAAAGGAAAGAAAGACUUCAUCGGGCUGCUGAACAGCAUAGGAAGGGAGCAGCUCAUCGUGGAAUCUCGGGCUGGAUCAAGAGUAUGCACCAGCCUGGUAACUAGAUGUACCUGCCUCAGCUCUUGUACAAUUAAGUACGGAAGUGUAGUAUGAGUAUAUAAACAGUAUGUACCCAGUAAGUACCUUGUCUAAUCUCGAAGAAGUAGAGACGAAAGGUCGACUUGACACUUACUAGGGUCAAAUAAUAUGAGAAAGUAUUAUACUAAGCAUGGAUAGCACAAAUGAUUAACAAUUUAUAGCAAGGAGUAACAAGUCCUUUCCUAGAUGAUAUCACAGUUAUCCAUUUACAUUUCAGGGCACAUAACAAAAUUCAGUUCACAGUAAUAUAUCGAGCAAGAAGCAUACGCAAGUAGUGCCGAGGUUGUACGACCUGAUCCAACAUAAAAAUAAAGUGUGCACUGCCGAAGGGUCGAACGGCACGAACCAUAGAUGCAUCCAUUACCCCGCUCGCGAAUCAUACAUGCUAUGCGGUCAAAUUUAAUUAAACACAACAAUAGGCAAACAAGAAUAUAUAUAUCAGAAGAGCAAUUACUCACAGAAAUAUCAACUUCUCUUUAAAAGGGCCAAGAAAACGAUGUUCCUCUUAUUAGUUUCAUUUACCACAUUCAACAUGAUUUAAGCAAUAAAAAUUAAUCAUAAAGUUACAAGAAUAUCACAUAAAGCAUGAUUUUGGGUCCUAGACUACCCGGACUUAAGCACAAUAGUGGCUACGCAUGGACUCUCGUCACCUAGUGCGUACGUAGACCCCGCAUUUAGUGGCAAAUUAUUCAAUUAUUACACCUAUGGGGACAAUUCCCUCUUACAAGGUUAGAUAGGAGACUCACCUCGCUCCAAAGCGCACUCCCAAUAUCAAGAACGUGCUCAAACCCUCAAUUUGGAGCCGAACGAACCGAAAGUAAUUAAACGAGUUAGGAAAGAGUCAAUACAAGUUCAAGAGUUCGCAUUUCAAUUACUAAUGUAAUUUUCCAACACUAAACACAAGUUUCCUAAAAUCUGACCCCGGGCCCACGUGCCCGGAUUCCGAAACUUUUCGAAGAAAGAUGUUCUUUAUAACCUAAGGAUCAAUAAUAUAUGAUUUCUACUUCAUUCUAUAAUAAAUUUCGUGGUUAAAUCCAACUUUUAUCAAAACCCUAGGUUUUGCUCUAAUCCCAUGAUUUUCUUUAAUCUUUGUGUGUUAAUAUACCCGAGGUUCAAGUAUUAAACUACAAAUAAAUAGGAUGAACUUACCUCAAGAUGCUAUGUGAAAGUCUUUUCUCAAGAGCUCCAAAAUCGCCCAAUAAAUGAGUGAAAAUGAGCAAAAAUGGCUUAGAGCCCAUAAAAAAUGCAGGUCACUGGUUCAGUGAUUUCCACAUCUGCGGUCCUGGGCCGCACCUACACCCACCGCAUCUGAGGAAAGGUGUCCGCGUCUGCGAAAAUUCAGCUGGGCCACUGGGCUUCUUCUGCGGGAAGCAACCGCUUCUGUGGAAGCUUAGUCGCUUCUGCGGCUUUUGGCUUGGCCUGCCUUAGCCGCUUCUACGAGAGAACGACCGCUUUUGCGGUCUCGCACCUGCGGCUGACCAACCGCAGGUGCCGUUAUGACAGAGUACUGGAGCUUCAGCUCCUUCCCAAGUUUUUCAACUUCACUCUAGCCUUGCCCGAUUGACGCUCGGGGCCCACUGGGCCCCGCCCAAACAUAUCAACAAGUUUGAAAUCAUAAAACGGACUUGCUCGAACCCUCAAAAUGCCCGAAACAACGCUAAAUCUAAGAAUCACCCUCUAAAACCAAUUAAAUCAAACUUAUGAACAAUAGUACUAACGUCCCUUUUGCCGGGGGCGCUACAUCUUUAAAUGGAUAUAGGUGGCUCCAUAGCAGAUAGUGCUGAUCGCAGCUAGUGGCACGUCCUCUUUCUAGCUGACUUGGUGAGCCCCACAUUAUUUCAGGGACCUAUAUAUUUUGUAUCUUAUGUUCACCUUCUCACCAUCUUUUGAGGUAUAGCUGGGGCCUUGUUGUCGGCACUUUUAUAGCAUUUUCUUUGUAUCUACUUAGAGGCUCCGUAGACAUUUACGUGGGUUGUGUAUAGGUGUUGGGAAAGUCAAUAAAAAGCGGUAAAAGAUAAAUGUACAUAGGUUUUAAAAUGAGUAAUCAGACAAUUUAAUUAAGCCGAGUAUGAUUAAAGCGACUGUGCUAAACCCACUUAACCUGGGAAUGCCUAACACCUUCUUCCAGGUUAACAGAGUUCCUUACCCGUAUUUCUGUGUUUCGCGGACUGUAAAAUAGAGUCAAUUUUUCUCGAUUCGGGAUUUUAAACCGGUGACUUGGGAAACCAUAAAUUAUCCCAAGUGGUGACUCUGAAUUUGAAUAAAUAAUCCUGUUUUGAUUAUUAUUGCUUUAAUUGGAAAAACUCAUUUAUAUCCCUUUCGGGUAAAAAGGAGGUGUUGACAGCUUUGGCGACUAUUCUGGGGAACAAGAACCCAGAAUCUCUGGUUUCUAGAUUCAGAAUUCGAGCUUGUUAAUAUGAUCUAUGCUUGGUUUUAUUGUUUGUUGAUAUUACUGUAUUUGUGGACCUGAUGCGCUAAUUGCCGCUUAUUUUACUGUUUUGAUAUUAUUUGAAUUGUAUUAAAUUGUCUUCUUAUGCCUCCCUUCUGAGUCUUCUAAAACUACGGUGAACACAUACGCGUGCCCACUUUUAUGUUAGAAGUCAUACCAAAUAGAAUGAGGCUUGGGUCAACAACAAGCCCAGGUAGACUUUCGUGCUCCCGGUACAUUGCCUCCACCUCGGCUCGAGCUAUCCGCUCGGGUAAGCUAGGUCUAGAUCACAACCCCAGGUUUAAACCUAGAAUAACAUAGCCUCAUGCUGGAUCCCUAGUAGGAAUGUUUGUUUGCAUCAUGUGCAUUUGACUUUGGGGACUCAAUACAGGGGUUGGGUCCGUCUAGGACAGGUGUACCCAAAAAUAAAAAAUCAUCCCGAUGCAUCAUAUGUGCUACAUGUUCCAUUCUUCAAAGGUAAAAAUUGGUCAUUUGGUAGACCAAUGAUGAUUGAGGGUAAAUGAGAGAGAAAAGAGGGUGGAGUGUGAAAAUAAAGAAAAUAGGGCCCAGUUAUAUUUUUCUUUCAUAUUUUUUUAAGAAGAAGAUGAAAAAAAUAAAAAUAAAUAAAUAAUCUCAAAAAAGAUUUUGGACUUUCCCAUCAUUUUCCGAAAAAAAAAUCAAAAAAAAGGGAAAAUAAAAUCCAAAAAGAGUUUACAUGUUUCAUCAUUUUUCAAAAAAAGACAAAAAAUAUGUUUUCUCCAAAUCAGUUAUUUUUUUUAUUCUCGCCCGUAUCCAAUCUUCCCGAACUACACAUACAUAAUUCUCGUCUUUCGGGGCGAGAUACGUAGGUAGCCCACAUAGGAUCCGGUCUUCCUAGUGAGUCUUAGAUUCUUGGGUUCGCGGGGGUCUUAGCCAAAUCUUGCAUGUCUAGCCACUUUUGGCCACAUCGGUCAUUCUUGCAAAAAUUGGGUCAUUUGCCCAAAAGUGGUUCAAUGACCCAUGUCUUAAAAUCUUGAGUCCACAACUAGGUGUCAUAUUACUUUAAGGUCCGUCCUUUUUUUGAGUUUGCAUCUUUAGUCUCUUCUAGCCAUAUCGGCCAUUCUUGCAAAAUGGGUCAUUUUUGCAAAUUAAUUUUGGGCCAUGAUUAUUGGGAGUUUGAAUCCACAUAAGCUUUAGUGAGGUAUUUCCAUGUCUAUGAGGUCACCUUUGAUGAGUUUGCGCUAAUAAGCCAUGAAGGUUAAUUUAAAAAAAAAUGCCACAAUCAUGCCUUGCAUGUGUCUAAUAAAGAGUGUUAUUGUCUCACAUAGUAUUCUAAGUCGUUAACUCUAUUUGGUCUUAUUUUUCUCAUACAGGUGUGGAUCUAGUUACCAGAGCUUGAGCAUGACAGACACCCUAGGACCAUCUAGACAGGAUACUGCAUUCAAGAGCUGGCUUAAGGAGACUUUUUAUGUUUUGAGUUUGUUUUUUUAUGUUGUCUUGUUCUUUAAACUCAUGUCCGGCAGUACUGGUUCUUUUGGUUGGUUUCAAAGUUUAUCAUAGUAUAGUUGAGUUUGUCGAGUCUCUCAUUAUCAUACUUUCUACGAUGUAUUUGAAAACCAAAAAAUUUAUAAAUGAAAAUCCAAAAGAUUUUUUGUUUUAGUUUAUUACAUUUCCAGAACUACACUUGAUCUGAUUCAUAGGGGACAUGAUACGUAGGCAAACUACAUAGGGUUCGAUCGAAUCAUCAUUAAAUAAAAAAUCAUAAAAAAGCAACAACAACAACAAAAAAAGAGAAAAAAGAGAAUAAAGUUGUGGGACAUGAGAAAUGAGUGGAAAGAAAAGAGUGAUAAGCAAAAGAAUAGAAGAGAAAGGAAAUAAAAAACCAAGCGGUGAUAGAAAGGAAAAUGAAGAAGGAAACGGGGCAAGAAGAGUGAAAUUGGGAUGAUGUCAUCUGACCUUCGUACCCUCGAAGUCAUUUUAGAACCGAUAACUGUGACUAGGUGCAAUGCACAUAAAGUGAGAUUAUCUUAUGUUAAAUGCCCUAACGCUAACAUAAUGACUUUAUUUUGUUCAUCUUUGUUACCUUCAUUACAGCAGAAGGGUGGUUGGUUUGUGGUUCUUAAAGUGGUAACUCUUCUCUACAACAUAAAGUUGAACGGCAAUGGUAGAUGACAACAGAAUUGAGUUGGUUGAUACUGGUGCCCAAAAGCAAUUGGUUGAACAGGACAAUGGGUUGGUUGAAGAGGCAAGGAUGUUAAGACAACACAUGAUGGAUAUGUAGCAGGAUUGAUGACUGGGAAGGCACCACCCUAGCCACCACCUAGCUUCCUAGAUGCUACCCUUACCCAAACUCCGGUAAUAGUGCCAGAUGAUCCCCAUACUCUCCAGAUUCUCCCGCUUAUCACAGCCUUCCCAACCACCCUAGUAGCUCCAUCACUCGUCCUCCAACCACCUUUCCCGAAAAUUGCCCUCCUGUCAUAUCCACUAUCCUCACGAUCACAACUUCUCAACAAUCUUCCCUUUAUAGAUCCAACAAUGAACACCCAUUCAAAACUCUUGAUGCCCAAUAUUACCCCUCACGGGUUGCCCACAAGGUCCCUGACUCAUACAAUCAUAGCCCUCGGAAUGAGCCUCAUGUUAAAAAUGAAAACUUCACAGGAAAAGAAGGGCGGGAUGAGAUAUCUAGGAAGCUGAAAGGUAUAGAACAUUCCUUAAGGAGCAUGCAAGGGAUGGGAAAUCAGAUUAACAUGUCUUACAAUGACUUGUGUAUGUUCCCUGAUGUUCAUCUGCCCGCAGAGUUUAAAACCAAAGUUUAACUUGUAUGAUGGGCAUAGAGAUCUAGUAUCCCAGCUAAGGGGUUAUUGUAGUGAAAUGAGAAGUGUUGGCAGGAAAGAUGAUUUGUUGAUGGCGUAUUUCAGUGAGAGCUUGAGUGGGGAAACCUUGGAAUUGUAUACUCAUCAAGAUGUCAAGAAGUGGCAUGCAUGGGAUGACAUGGCUCAAAAUUCUGUUCGAUACUUUCAGUACAAUCUAGACAUUAUCCCAAACCACUCCUCCCUGUCUAAGAUGGAAAAGAAACCGAAGGAAUGUUUUAGGGAGUUUGGACUCAAAUGGAGGAACCAAGAUGCUCGGGUCAGUCUCCCGAUUGGUGAAGAAGAAAUGGUUGAGAUUUUCCUACAAGCCUAGGGGGCCACCUACUUCAGUCAUUUGAUCCCGGCCUUGGGUAAACCUUUCAAUGAUGUGGUAAAAAUAGGGGAGAUGGUAGAAGAGUGAAUUAAGUCACCCAAAAUCAUUAGUUAUUCUGCAUUGAAAGAUACUACAGAAGACAUUCAGAACAUCUCCGUAAGUUUGGGUGGAAGAAAGAGAAAUAGAAAAGAUGUUGUUGAGACCCGCCAACGACAGGAUCUAGUGGGCAUUCCUGCUCAACGCUUUCAGCCUCAAUAUCGACCUCAUGGAUAUCUAUGUGCUCCAAAUAAUCCUCCCCAAUGCUACUUAUCUCCACAAAAUCCCCAAAGUCAUACCUCACCUUCCCAGUACUCCAUCCACAAUGCACCACCAUAUGCUCCACAUCCACAGGACUUGCGAUGGCCUGCACCAUUUCUGCAAAUAUCUUACCCACCUCCUCAAGCAUAUCAACCACCUACCCGCAAAAGGUUCCAACCGAGGCCAGCGUACAAAAUGAAAAGGCAAUAGGAAAAAACAAAAAGACUUUCACUCCUAUUGGAGAAUCAUAUGCCAGUUUGUUCCAAAGGUUGAGGCAAUUGGACAUGUUGAAGCCGAUUCAGAUAAAAAUAUCGAACCCUCUUCCAAAGAAUUUUUAUUAUUCUCAAAGGUGCGCAUAUUUCUCUAAUGCCUCGGGUCACAGCAUAGAAAAGUGUUGGCAUCUGAAAAGAGCAGUUCAAAAGCUUAUUGAUGCAGGUGAAAUUGUCAUGCAAAAUCCAGAUGUAGUAGACACUAGCCAAAGUCCAUCGUAUGUCCAUAAUGAGACGCAUAUGAUGGGUAUGAUUUGUGUUGAAAAGGAAUAUAAUAACUUUUCUGAGAUCCUCGGAGGGCCACUUGCCGCAAAGCUUUCAGUGCUAUCAGUCUCAAUUCUGAAAUUUAAUCUUAAGAACGAGCCGGCAAUGGAUACUUGUGAAGGUCCCAGUAUUGUUAAUGCAGAACUCAGUGGCUAAGAUGUUGAGCUUGGUGAUUGGAAAUAUGCUCCUUUCUUGGCUAGCCAGGAAGGAGUUUUGGUGGUUUAUUUUGUUGUUAUUUUCUGUUGUCCGAUUUAUUUCAGGGUUGUAAUCCGGAUAUUAUCUUGUGGCUCAAACCCUUCUAUCCUUUUAUUUUGCCUAGUCUGUUUAAUCGUAGUAGCUCAUUUAGUGUUAUCUAGGAUUAUUCCAGGGUUGUAACCCCAGUUUAGUUUUCUUGUUUUGUAAUUAGAACCCUUUCUCCGUCUGUUUAAUGUAAUCUCUUGUUUUUUUAUUUCUAGUUUGUAUUUGUUUAGUUCUCCUUUUCUUUUAUAGUUCUUUUCAUGGUGACUCUAGUGGCAUGACAUGCAUAGGGAAAUAAGUAAAGAUUUAGAUAUUUUGAGAUCAUUUAAAGCCCGAAUUGUAUGAAACUGGGGGCAGAUGGUUUGGGAAGUUAAGUGGACAACAAGAAUUUGUUACAAGAACGUGCGUCCCAGACAAUUAGAAGCAAGCAACUUUGAGUUCAAGUGCAUCUCAAGUUACAGCAUAAAGCCAAGGGAGUUUGCUCCAAACUGACGGAGCACAUCCAUUUUGAAGAAGAAAUCACCCAAGAAGAGCUCUGUACUUGACAAGGCACUAAAGAAAGGUGGAAGGCAUAUCUGUGAUACCAAUGCCGAUGUUGCAAAAGAAAUGUGCAUGAUGUUUAUAUUUAAUCUUCAAGUUGCAUAUGUUAUACUUGGUAUUCUUAGAUAAUGGGAGACCCUCCUUCAGCUAUCCAAACACUUUAUACCCUUUGGUACCCCUUUGAGCCUGUGCUGAUUUCUUUGACCCCCCUCUUUUGGAAUCAAGUUAGAGUCAUAAAAAAAACAUGUGCCCAUAGAUUUGUUUUAGAAAAUUCAUUCCAAAAGAAAAAGAAAAAAAUAAAAAAAAAAGAGAGAUAAAGAAUAAAAAUAAAAGAAAAAGAAAAACAAGAAGAAAAGAAAAAAAGAAAAAAAUAUGGCAACAAAAAAACAAAACAAGAAUUAGUUGUGAACUACGUUCGACCUGAUUCUUGUUACCACAAGAUACGUAGGUAGCCUUACGGUUCAGUCGUACCAAAUAAAAUAUUUCAUAAUCCCACGAAGUCAAGAGUGGGGCGGUUUUUCGUAGAAUCAAAUUCUGCUGAUUUAGAAAUUGGGGCAAAGUUUUGAAAUGGAUUCCAAAAGUUGUAAAUAAAUUAACCCUGUUAUCUUAGUUAUUUUGAGUCUUUAUAAUAUCCUUUCUUUCUAACCCUGUCCAAAAGCCACAUUACAGUCCAAAAAAGACUUCUCAAAUAAUCUUUGAGAGUGGUGAGUUUAGACAUGCCAAGAGCAUAUGAUAUUUUUACCAUGAUUAAUGCCUUAUCAUCUGCAGAAUCAGAGGAAAUAAGAAGAAAAGAACAAAAUGAGAAAGUCUUAUUGGUGAAAACCUUCACAGUCACCAUAAGGCGAUGGUGAGUUGAGAGAAAAAAACAAAAUGAGAGAGGAUUGAUGGUAAAAACCCUUCGGGCACUACAAGUCGAAUAAGGAUCGUGAAUCAGAUAGGAUAAUCGGAGCAUUGAAGCCCAGUUUCACGGUGAAGAGGUACAACAAGAGUUGAAUAUUAGACUUGCUUGGCAAAUUAGGCUACUUAAUCCAAAAGUGCAUGUCAUAGUCAUUAGAGUUGGUAUCCAUAUCUGAUAAGUUUCUACUUGGUGAUUUUCCUGUUAGAUAUCAUUUCUUUCCAUUGUCCCCUUACUAUGUUCCUCUUGAUUUGUUUAAGUCCUCUUCUUGAGUCUGUUUUAUCAAAACAAGUGAGAAAUGACUUCAAUAUUUGCCACCAACUUUCCAAUUGCACAAAGCGGAGUCUGGCUAGUACAUCAAAGUGGCUUAAGUCAGGAAAGAGUAGUAUGCGCACUCUGUUGGUGACAAUUGACGUGCUUUGGGAUUCAUGUGAAAUACAAAGGUGCGGUAUAUGUCAAUUCAUGAACAUAAUGAACUAGAUAGAGGGAUUUUGGAUUUGAACGGAUCAUAGGUGUUUUCAUUGAUAAGGGUUUACUGGGAAAGUAGUUAGUCAAUAAACAAGCAAGGUAUUUCAAGUUGAAAUCAAAGUUAUCAUGGCAAGUGAAGGAGCAAUCGCCCUCAAAGUUAAGGCUACAAACCAACCGCUAUGUUUAAACUCACAAGUUUUCUUUGUUUGAAACAGAGACGAAGACUAUGUCCAAAUCAAAGCUUGGAUGCUUGAAAUUUUCAAGUGCAGUGCCCAAAUUUGGUUAGCACAAAGGUUGUUUGAGAAGGUUUUUACUUGCUAGGCAUUCCCUAGUUGAGAUGGCCAUUACCUCCUAUUAAUUCUCCUUAGUAAGAAGAGUUUUUAGUUUUCCUUAAGUUCUGGGGUCUCGCCUGCAUAAUAGGGUUAGUUUUAGUUUCCUUAAAUUAUUAAUCUUUAGCAUUCCUUAAGUUCAGGGGUCCCGCCUGGAGAAUAGAGUCAUUUUUAAUUUUCUUAAGUGGUUAAUCUUUAGUUUUUCUUGAGUUCAGGGAUCCCUCCUGGAGAAUAUAGUCAGUUUUUAGUUCCCUUAAGUUAAGUUCAGGGAUCCCGCGUGGAGAAUAGGGUCAAUUUUAGUUUUCUUAAGUUGUUAAUCUUUAGCAUUCCUUAAGUUCAAGAGCCCCGCCUGGAGAAUAGGGUCAUUUUAAUUUUCUUAAGUGGUUAGUCUUUAGUUUUCCUUGAGUUCAGGGGUCCCGUCUGGAGAAUAGGGUCAUUUGUUAGUUUCCUUAAGAUUUCAAUAUUUCAGUAUUUUGUUUCUCUUAAAGUUCAGGGGUCGCAUCUGGAGAAUAGGGUCAAUUGUUAGUUUCCUUAAGUUUUCAAUCUCUUAGUUUUCUUGAGUUCAGGGUCCUGCCUGAAGAAUAGGGGCAGGUUUUAAUUUAGUCAAGCUUAGCUUAUAAUUUUCCUUAAGCUGGAUCUCACAGGAGACGCACAUCUUAGUCGAGUUUUUAGUUUUACCCUCAUCAUUGCAUCCUUUAUCAAUAGCAUAGGUGAUUUAUAGUUUCGCUAACAACUCACAAAUCUUCCUAGUGCAAAUUGGGGCAGAAAAUUUUGUUUGUUUUGUUGUUUUUGAUUGCAGGCAUCCACCUAGAGAACGAAGGGCAACAUUUCAGAAAUCGGUAUUAGGUCCAAGUCAAAGAAGCCCCAGGAACCUGCCUGAAGAACGGGGUCAACUUUCAAUUUCAUUCGAGAUCAAGCAGGAGGAUACCACCUGCAGAACGAGGGUCAAUAUUUCAGAAAUUGGUUUCAAAUGCAAGUUAGAGAAGCGUCAGGAGCCCGCUUGAAGAACAUGGUCAACUUUGAGUUUACAAGUUCAAGUCAGGGAGGCAUCAGGAGCCCGUCUGAAGAACAUGUUCAUUUUUCAAUUUCAAGUUAGAGAAGCAUCUGGAGAAUCCCGUCUGAAGAACCGGGUCAAUUUUCAGUUUACAAUUUCAUGUCAGGGAGGCAUCAGGAGCCCGCCUGAAGAAUAGGGUCAACUUUCAGUUUUCAAGUUCAAGUCAAAAUCAAACAGGAGGAUCCUGCCUGAAGAGCAGGGUUAACUUUCAGUUUUCAAGUUCGAAUCAGAGGCAUCAGGAGCCUGCCUGAAGAACAGGGUCAACUUCCAGUUUUCAAGAUUUAAGUCAAAGACAGCAGGAGUCCGCCUGAAGAACAGGGUCAACUUUCAGUUUUCAAGAUUCAAGUCAAAGACAGCAGGAUCCCGCCUAGAGAAUAGGGUCAAUUUUUAAUUCAAAUCAGAACUAGCACGAGCUGCUUGAGGAACAAGAUUUUCAAACUCAAGUCUACUCCAAUUUCAAGUUUAUUUAAAGUGCAAGCAACAUGAUGCUCGAUUGAAGAAUAGGGUCAACCUUCAGUUUUCUUUAAAUUCAAGUCAGCAGGAUGCCCACCUGAAGAAUGGGGUGAAUUUUCAGUUUCAUGUUGAAGGAGCAAGUGGAGAUUCAAAGAAGAUUCAAGACAAGAAGUGGAUAGGAUCUUGUGUUUUUCUUUUAUUUUUGCUGUAAUUUUUCCUUUUAUUUUGAUGUAAUGGCAGGAACCACAGACCGGAACCUCGACGACACUUCACUCGACUCUCCACCUCCGUAUACCCUAUCACUGUUCCUGCUUUUGAACUACAUGUGACCUGAUUCCUUUAUAGCCAAGGAUAUGUAGGCAACUCAAAUACCAGGGCUCGGUCUCAUUCUCCUUUCUUUUAGUUUUUGGUCUCUCUAAAUAAAGGUCAGGUCAAGAAACAUGUCUCAUCGUUCUUUAUCUGAAAACUCUUUGUGUUUUCAGUCAAAGAGGGGCAGCUGUAGACAUGUAAUUUUGACCUUCCCUAAGAUUUUACAUAUUUUAGCAUAUAAAUAUUUAGUUUAGGCCUAAUGUUGCUAUUUUAACUAGUUACUCUUUUACUUUAUUUUGUCACGAAAAUAAAAAUUACAAAAAAAAAUAUUUUCUUUUAUUUAAGUAAUUGAUAUUUUAUCUUGUUACUUUUAAUUUAUCUACCUUUCAUAAAAUUCAAAAAUACAAAAAUAGUUCCACUUUGUUUUUUGGAAUAUUAGUAGUUUGGUAGGGAUAUUAUUUUAAUUUUGCAUGAUUUUAAUCUAAUUCCAUUUUUAUCUUUUAGUAUGAUAUUUGAAAAAUACCAAUAAUAGGUUUGUUUUAACGGUUAGUUUUAUUUUAAUAGUUAUUUUACUUAAGUAGGAUUAAUUAGUAAAUGGGGUAGUAUUUUUAGUCUUGUUCAAUGAGGAAGAACAAAAUUUGGGCUCAAACAAUCCACUUUUUAGGCCCAAUUUUCGAAUUAGCCCAUUAAGGCCAAUACCUAAUACCACCUAAGCUAACCCUAUAGACCCUUCUAGACACUCAUCUUCCUCUCUUAACUAAAAAUACCCUAAACAUACCUAACUAAAAAUACCCUUAAAAAAAUGGAGCCGCAUAACACAAAAAAGGGACCCUCUUCUUCUUCCUUCCUUAACAAAAACCCUAGAGCUGAAACCCUUCUUCGUCACGCACACACAACCGUCCACCACACCCCUCCCAGCCGUGACCCUCACCCAAAGAACACCCCCUACAUCUUCUUCUUCACCCCAUCUCCAGCCACCAAACCCGUCGAAAAUCUGCACCCUAACCACCACAGCUUGCCGGAGAAGAACCAGCCAUAGCCCCUCCCUCCUCUAUUAUCUUUCAGUUGUCGUUCCCCCAUCCCAUCACCACCAGCGACCCCUCUUAUUCUUCUUUAUUCCUAAGAAUUCCAGCCGACGACUCCUCCAUCUCUAAUGCCGGCGAAGACCUUCAGUCCAAAAACGAGAGAAAUAGAGGCUGAAAAUAGUGAAGAAAAAUGAAAAAAAACAAAGCUGAAAAUAGCAAAAUGUCCAAAAGCUCAUUUAGUAUCCUUUUUCGAUGAGCCUCAAGUUUUCAAUUGAGUUUAGUGACUAUUUCUAUUGUUCCCUGGUUGAAGUCCGUUCGAGGUGUGGUCUGUUGGUUUUGUUCGAGUUCGAUCGUUGUUCGAGUUUCACUCAUAGCUGUGCUUUCCAUCUGUUGUAGCUGCUGUAAUUUUUCUUCAAUUGAAAUUUUCUUCAGAAGCUGCGUAGUAGAGAUAAUUAAAGGUACCAGUAGAUUCAAUAGCAAUUCUUAACUGAUGUUGCCAAGAAAGCCAAGGCAUUCUUCCAUUGGUGGUUCAUUCGAGGUUGUGUAUCCGGGUUCCAAUCGUUUGAGGUUUAUUUCUCCCUUAUUUUGCUGAUUUGCUUAAUAUCGUGCUUUCCUUUGUUUUCCUGGAUCGUUUCUUCAUUAAGAGAUAGAUGUUUAAUGCAUGAUGUUUAACAUUUUGGUGUUUUCGGAGUUAAAUUGACCUAUUAAGUAAAAUUGGGCAGUGGAGUUGGGUAUUAAAAUAAAAGAUGAUGUGCU
rnacentral:lncRNA from 1 species